rnacentral:rRNA from 1 species
UACGGAGGGAGCUAGCGUUGUUCGGAAUUACUGGGCGUAAAGCGCGCGUAGGCGGUGACUCAAGUCAGAGGUGAAAGCCCGGGGCUCAACCCCGGAACUGCCUUUGAAACUAGGUCGCUAGAAUCUUGGAGAGGUCAGUGGAAUUCCGAGUGUAGAGGUGAAAUUCGUAGAUAUUCGGAAGAACACCAGUGGCGAAGGCGACUGACUGGACAAGUAUUGACGCUGAGGUGCGAAAGUGUGGGGAGCAAACAGGAUUAGAUACCCCCGUAGU